UCGUCCGCCCCGGAGCGUUGGACGCCAGAGACGGUCACGGACCUCGCGGUCCGACGAUCGCUCCGUUCUCGCUCUGUGUGUCGGGGUGACGAACGCGUGCACUUCUCCCCUAGUAGGACGUCGCGACCCGUUGGGUGCAGGCCUAAGGAUCGGGGUGGAGACCGAGUGGCGCCUUCGGGCUGUUUCCGUUCGGACCCCCGUCUCCCGGCCUGCCCGCCCGACGGUAUAGCAGUGGCGCGGGGCCGCGAUCUUACGAUUCGCGUCCGGCCCGUCGCAAGUGCUUGCGGAUAUCCGGUGGGCGUCUGGGGACUCGUGCCCCGACUUCACCGGACCCGUUCGACUGCUGGCGACGGUGUCCUCGGACAGACUCCGUUUUAUACGCCCGUCGGCGACGCUUUAGCUUUGGGUACUUUCAGGACCCGUCUUGAAACACGGACCAAGGAGUCUAGCAUGUGCGCGAGUCAUUGGGACUUAGCGAAACCUAAAGGCGUAAUGAAAGUGAAGGCCGCGCCUGGCGCGCGCCUAGGGAGGAUGUGCAGGACUAUGUUUCCGCGCCGCACUCCCGGGGCGUCUCGUGCUCAUCGCGAGCUGAGGCGCACCCAGAGCGUACAUGCUGGGACCCGAAAGAUGGUGAACUAUGCCUGGUCAGGACGAAGUCAGGGGAAACCCUGAUGGAGGUCCGUAGCGAUUCUGACGUGCAAAUCGAUCGUCGGAACUGGGUAUAGGGGCGAAAGACCAAUCGAACUAUCUAGUAGCUGGUUCCCUCCGAAGUUUCCCUCAGGAUAGCUGGCGCUCCGGUGAGCGAGUCUCAUCCGGUAAAGCGAAUGAUUAGAGGCAUUGGGGUCGAAACGACCUCAACCUAUUCUCAAACUUUAAAUGGGUGAGAUCUCCGGCUUGCUCAAACGAUGAAGCCGCGAGA
rnacentral:rRNA from 1 species